rnacentral:rRNA from 1 species
AUUGAACGCUGGCGGCAUGCCUUACACAUGCAAGUCGAACGGCAGCGGACCUUCGGGUGCCGGCGAGUGGCGAACGGGUGAGUAAUAUAUCGGAACGUACCUUUCAGUGGGGGAUAACGUAGCGAAAGUUACGCUAAUACCGCAUAUUCUGUGAGCAGGAAAGCAGGGGAUCGCAAGACCUUGCGCUGAUUGAGCGGCCGAUAUCAGAUUAGCUAGUUGGUGAGGUAAAGGCUCACCAAGGCGACGAUCUGUAGCGGGUCUGAGAGGAUGAUCCGCCACACUGGAACUGAGACACGGUCCAGACUCCUACGGGAGGCAGCAGUGGGGAAUUUUGGACAAUGGGCGCAAGCCUGAUCCAGCCAUGCCGCGUGAGUGAAGAAGGCCUCGGUGUAAG